GGUUACUUUCUUUAUUGGUUUUGUUUUGAAAGCAAAAAUUUAAGCAUUGAUUUGCUUAGUAAUCU
rnacentral:tRNA from 1 species